rnacentral:rRNA from 1 species
GCUGGCGGCACGCCUAAUACAUGCAAGUCGAACGAAGUAGCAAUACUUAGUGGCAGACGGGUGAGUAAUAUGUAGGUAUCUUCCCAUUGGUGAGGAAUAACACGAGGAAACUUGUGCUAAUACCUCAUAAGUCUUUACGGAGAAAGCUUUAUGCGCCGAUGGAUGAGCCUGCACUUGAUUAGUUUGUUGGUAGGGUAAUGGCCUACCAAGACAAUGAUCAAUAGCUGAUUUGAGAGGAUGAUCAGCCACAUUGGGACUGAGACACGGCCCAAACUCCUACGGGAGGCAGCAGUAGGGAAUCUUGCACAAUGGGGGAAACCCUGAUGCAGCGAUGCCGCGUGAGUGAAGAAGGCCUUUGGGUUGUAAAGCUCUUUCGUCGGGGAAGAAAAUGACUGUACCCGAAUAAGAAGGUCCGGCUAACUUCGUGCCAGCAGCCGCGGUAAUACGAAGGGACCUAGCGUAGUUCGGAAUUACUGGGCUUAAAGAGUUCGUAGGUGGUUAAAAAAGUUGGUGGUGAAAUCCCAGAGCUUAACUCUGGAACUGCCAUCAAAACUUUUUAGCUAGAGUAUGAUAGAGGAAAGCAGAAUUUCUAGUGUAGAGGUGAAAUUCGUAGAUAUUAGAAAGAAUACCAAUUGCGAAGGCAGCUUUCUGGAUCAUUACUGACACUGAGGAACGAAAGCAUGGGUAGCGAAGAGGAUUAGAUACCCUCGUAGUCCAUGCCGUAAACGAUGUGUGUUAGACGUUGGAAAUUUAUUUUCUGUGUCGCAGCGAAAGCAAUAAACACACCGCCUGGGGAGUACGACC